UUCGCAACUAUUUGUGGGGUGUCCGGGCUCUUGCCUGCCACUGCGGGCCGCGUGCGUGGCGGGAGAGGAGCCCGCGAGCGGCAGCGCGCUAAGGGGGGAACCGCCGGAUGGGCGUGGGGGGUGGGGAGCGCCGAGGGGUCCGGAGCCUAGUGGAGCCGGGAGAGGUUUGAAGACUGCAAAUAAUACUCCUUUCAAUUCAAAACAACGUCGAAAUCACCUAUCUUAAUGUAAUUCUAUUACACGUUUUUAAAGGUUAACUUUAUUUCUGAAUUUCUAGUGAGAAUGAAAAUACCUCGGGUUCUCCGGUUAGAUAAAAAUAUAUUAGGAUAUGUCAGUGAAAAGUGAUGUGAUGUUUUCAGUGUUAAUGGCUAGAAGAAGAUUCGUCAUUUUAAAAUAUGUGAGUAAUUUUCUACUUUUAAUAAAUAUUGGGAGAGUGCUGAUGUUACUAAUUAAUAUUUAAGCGAGUCCAUCUUUAGUUAUCUCUGGUGCCCGUAUGCAUUUCUGUAAAUUGAUUCGGCUCAUUGUGUAUUAUGGUGUCUUUAUUUUUUCUCUUUUAACAUUCUUUUUGUGGUAUUGCUUUUUUUAAAUUGACAAGUGACUGGCAUUCACUUGAGUAUUGUUACAAAGCUCCCUUUAAACAUAAAAUAUUGAAGUAAAAAUGUGAAUUGAUUUGAGUGAAAAGAUUAAUUAAAUAAAUAGGUUAGUCCUCAGAUGUGGCCAAAAUUGAGAAGGAGAUUGUGGAGACCUAUGGUGCCCAUCGAGGGUAGUAAGUUCAUGGAGGGGUUACAAAAACAGGAGGAGGGCUCCUCAGUCUGAGCUCUGGUUUUCAGACUCUUGUCGGAGCACAUUAAUUGUCCCUUGCUAGGUCUAGGCAGAGAGCUAGGAGUUUCACCAUGUUUUUAAGUCACAUGCUCGUGAGUAGUCUCGUAAGGGGGGCGUAUUGCUGUUCUCCCUGUUACAGAUGAGAAAAUGGAGGCCAAGGGGAAAAUGAAGUCACUUCCCCCGGGGGAGGGAUACAGCUGGGAAUUAGGACUCACGUCUGUCAGACGGGAACAGCCCUACUCGGUCAAGGACCCUGCCCCCCAGUUUAUUGCCCUGAAUUGCCGUUCUUGGGGAAAACAAGAGGCUGGUCAGAGGGAGAAUCAGGCCUCACCUGAGACCAGUCUGGCUUAUUUUACGACUAAUUCCAGACAUAAUAAGGGUCUUACUCAUAAAUAUUUCAGCUUACAUUUCUACGGAUCUUUAAAAAAUAUAACUGCAAUACUAUUAUCACACCUGAAGAAAUGCUAAUUCUUUGAGAUCAUUAAGUACCCCGCGUUCAAGUGUACCUGACUGUACAAUAAAUAUUUUUUUACAGCUGGCUUGAAUUGGAAUCUAGACAAGGUCACACCUUGUAUCUGGGAGAUCUAUCUCACUCUUUAAAUUCAGAGCAGUGCUGUCCAACGGAAAUACAAUGCGAGCCACAUGUAAUUUCACAUUUUUUAAUAGUAAAAAGAAACUGGUGUAGUUCAUUGUAAUAAUUUAAUGUAAUACAUAUACAAAAUAUUUGCUCAUGUAAUUUUAAAUUACAUUUUCACUUUUUUCAAAAUCCAGUGCAUACGGCACCUCUCAGUUUGUACCAGCCACAUUUUAAGUGUGGCAAGUAGCUUCCUUAUUAGUGCAAUCUAGAGGUAUUUUUUUCUUUGUUAAACGAAUUGGGUACGGUGUCAGAGUUCCUUCCUCAGGCUUUGGCUUUUUCUGAUUACAUUCAAUGGCGUUUGAAUCUCUGACCUCUGCAUUUCCUGUGAAAUGGUAGUUAGGGUUCUGUUGAGAUUUUCUUUUUGGAAAGAAGACUUCACUGGAGGUGCUGUGUACUCCUGCCUGAGGCACUUCUUGGCACUCCCCCUUUGUGAAGUUAGCAGCCAUUGAUGGUCUUUUCCCUAGAUCUUUUGUUUUGUUGAUGUUUCCAAAAUAGUGAUAACUUUAAAUAUUGCUUCUCAUUUAUUUGCAGGAAUACGUCUAUAGGGAGGUAAUUUUCUUUGUUAAUCAUUUGAUUACUGUAAGUUGUAUGUUAUUAAUGGCAGGUUAAGUUUUUGAUUCAUUCCUUAUGUUUAUCAAUAUCUAACAAUUUAUUGAAUCUCUAGCAGGUGCCAAAGACCCUUUUUCUGGUGUCUUUAUGAUGUGCUUUAAUCCACUGUGGCUUUUAGUCUCUUUGGUGCACAAAUUAUCCAAUCUCUGGCCAGUGGGAGCCUUUCAAAUUGGUUCCUGACUUUGACAGGAAAGACCUCAGUGGUCUUUGAUACCUUCCUUAUUAAAUGGGUCCACUUCCUUAUUAAGUAGGUCCAUUUAUUCAACUGGACUUAUAGUGAUAGGCAGUUGGGUUGUUUCUAGCCUUUUCCUAUUAGAAGUAGAACCGAGAUGAAUAGGCUUUGCAGGUGUCUUUGCUUUUUUUGGCCAUUUAAUAUUUCCACAAACGGUAUUUAAAAGUGCCUGCUUAUCUGUAGCCUUGCCAAGGUAAUGCGUUUUCAAAAUUCUGUAUUUUUUGCCAAUAUGGUAGGUAUUUUAAAUGUUAUUUCAUAUCAGAUUUUAUCUUAAAUGGGUAAAGUUGAGCAUCUUUUCAUGUUUAAGGUAAUUUCUUUUUCUGUCUGCUAUACCUCUAGUCCAUUUUCCUUUUUGGGUAGUUGGAUUUUGUCUCUUUUUAGAUGCUCUUUAUAUGUUAGGGAUAUUAAUGCUUUGGGAAAAAAUUGCAAAUAUCGUUCCCACUUUAGCAUUGGUAUUUUUGUUUAGCUUAGUAUUUUUUAGCUAUUCAUAAGAGGUUUGGAGGUUUUUGUUUUGGGUUUUGUUUGUAUUUAUGUAAUUAAAUUUUUCAGUGUUUUCCCAUAUUCUGGGUUUGGGGUCAUGGUUAGGAAAGUUUUCCCUACUUCCAGUUUAUGGAAUUCAUCUAUUUUCUUUCUUUUCUUUUUUCCGUGUGUAGGAUAUUGCUUAGCAUUUCUCAUAAAACGUGAAAAAUUCUUAGUUAACUCAUUCCCCUUCAUUAAUAUGUCAGUGUGACAGACUGUAGGGAUUGACUUUGAAAUGAUGAGCUACAAUUGCAUUCCAAGAAUAAACCCAACUUGGUCAUGAUUAUUUCUUUGUGUAUUGCUGGAUUUGGUUGCUGAUAAUUUCUUCGGGAGCUUUUUAUCUGAGUUCAUGAGGAAAAUUAGCCUGUGAAUCUUGGUAAACUAAUUCUAACACUCUUGGGAAUGGAAAAUCAAAUCAGGUUGAUUGUUGAUCAAAACAAAAAUGCAGAUGGAAACAAAGCUUUAUAAGUUUAAAAAAAAUCCAUAUGGACUUAGGCUAAGAAAAAGAUCUCUUAAAACGGUACAAAAAGUGAUAAUGAUGAAUGGGUUAAAAAAGAAAAGACUAGAAUGGAAAGUUCUGAAUUCCCAUUAAGUUUCUCAGACAGUUAUGCCUCUUUUACAGAAAUCCUCACCUAGUGUGAAUAUUAAAAAUUUCUGUUGCACUCUCUCCUGCUAAGUCCAUCUGCAUUGCGAAGAUGUUCCAUUAUUGAUGUCUCCACAGGUCUUUGUUCUGCUUUACACAAUAUUUAGUUAGAAUUACGCUGUCCAAUAGAGUAUGAAUGACAAAUGUAAUUUCAUUUUUGAGAUAUAAUUCACAUACCAUACAGUUCACCUAGUACAAAUGAGAGGUUUUUAGUAAAUUCACAGCAUUGUAAAAACCACCAUUACCUAAUUCAAGAAUAUUUUACAUUGAAACACCCUUAAGCAUUCUUGGGGUACAUCCUGCUUGGGCAUGGUGUAUAACCUUUCUUUCAUGUUGCUGGAUUCAGUUUGUAGUAUUUUGUUGAGGAAUUUUGCACCUUUAUUCAUAACAGAUAUUAGUAUGUAGUUACCUCUUCCUGUGAAAUCUGUUUUGUUUGGUUUUGGUAUCAGAGUGUUCAGUUUGUUAAAGGGGUGCCAUAACAAAGUACUCUAGACUGGGUGUCUUAACAGAAAUUUGUAGUCUUGCAGUUACAGAGUCUAGAAGUCCUAGAUGAAGGCAUUAGCAGGGUUGGCUCCCUCUGAGGGCCAUGAGGAAAUGAUACAUUCCGGACCUCUCUCCUUGCUUUGUUAGAUAGCUGUCUUCUCUUUCUUGUGUCAGCUUGUCUGUGUCCAAAUUUCCCAUUGGAAGGACACCAGCCAUAAUGGAUUAUGGCCCACUCUAAUGAUGAAAUUUUCAACCCAUAAAGCAGGGUAAUAUUGGCCUUGUAGAAUGAGUUGGGAUGUGUUUUAAUAUUUUAAUUUAGUAUAUGAAUUUUGAUUAACUGUUAUCUAAAAUAUUCCAACAUGUAGUCAAUGUUUUAAAAUUGAGCUAUGUUACAUUCUUGUUUUAAUCUUUGCAGUUUGGUGUGCGUUUUAUACUUAACAGCACAUCUCAAUUUGUACUUGUCACAUUUCAAGUGUUCAGUAGGCACAUGUGGUUAACGGCUAUCAUAUUUUUAUCCUUUGUACCCAAUUUGUUCUUUUUCCAAGCAGUUUUUUCUAUACUUGCAACUUAAAUUUAGAAGUUCUAGCAACAUAUGCCUAGGUUAUGUCUUUUAAAAAUAUCUGUUGGGAACCACACAACCAUGUUUAUCUUAAGCCAGGAAAAUCUCCUUCCAUUAUUUAUCUGUUCUAUUUGUGUCUUUCUCCUUCUGGAAUCCCUAUUGUUGACAUGUUAUUUCUUUUGUCUCAUGUUACAUCUUGUGUCCUCCAAAUUUCAUAUCUUUUUCCCUUUGUUUCUGUUUUUUUCUCUUUGAGAUAUUUCUUGCACUUAUUUUUCAGGCCACUAUCCAUGCUUUCAGUUUAUUACUAACUUUAUAAACUCAAAAUUUGAUUGUUAGUACUAAAAAAGUGUUGUAUUCUGUAACUGAGUAUCUGAAAGUGCUCUUUUUUUUCCUGUUAAAAAAUGUAUGGUUUUGUUCAGCACUUCUCAUUCCCUGAUAACUGUUUUAAGCUGUUGUCUAAAUGCAUGGUAUCCUCUCCGGGUGCUUGAGUCACUCUCAUGUGCAUUGUCCAUUCCUUUUCUCGUGAUUCUGUUCUCCACUCUCCCAGGGCAGUGUGCUCUGGUCCCCUGAGCAGCAAACAUUGAGCACGAGCUGCUACAGCAGUCUCCGCUCCUCUGGCAGCUGCCUGGGACCUGACAAGGUGUCAGCUCUCCACAGAGCCCCAGGAGGAAGCUCUAGGCCCCUUAAGGGACAGCUGGCAUGUACUGCAGCCAUGGCUCCGGGAGACUGAGUGUAACCCCCACAAGCCUUCCUGAAUGUGGGAUCUAAAUGGUCACCCACCCAGGGAGGGGCUGCUUACUCCGGGGGAGAGAGCUACAGGCGGGUUGGUAGGGGAGGUGGUUUGGAGAUGGUCUUAGCAGUUGUAUUUUAACAGGUCCCCCCCCCCCCCCCCCCCCCUUUAUAUUUCUUAGCUAGGCUAGAAUCAUAUUUCCUACUGUGGAUGGGGGGAGCACUACCAAUUAAUAGAGAUGAUGAAUGCCUCACUUGAGAACAAAUUUUACCUUUAGCAGUGGAAGUCAAAUAGCAGUGUUUUUUUUUUUUGUUUUUUUUAGGAAAACUUCACCUGAUGUAUUUUUUUCCUCUCAUAAUUUGGAUUUCAUCUUUGGAUUCCAUCUGUGGAAUGCAGUCAAUAAUAUCCUAGAGCAAGAGUUGCUAGUUCUAUGUUGGAUAAAAAUUUGUCCCUUAUGUUAAUUUUAAUACAAGUAAUAGAAUUUACCUAACAUUGUAUUAUACUGUUUUUGCUUUUUAGUUAACACAGAUUUUGCAAAAUGAACACUGAGAGAAACAGUGAAUUAUCACCCCAGACUUAGCUACAGUACAUAAACUAAAGGGCUUAAUAGUUAAAAGAUAAUGGAAAACAGCUUUCCUGUUUCUUACGGCUCAUCUAUAUCCCCUUUUUGUGGAUAAAAAUAUAGUAACAGCAAUAAACACUUAGAACGUUAUAUUAUUUAGUGAUCCAUCUACAGCUUCUCUUUAAUAGCUCUGAGAUAGCUUUGUGUAUUGAACUUGGUUUGUUGUACAAAUUAGGGUCAGAAUUCUCACACUUUAGAAGCAUGAGCCUCUUGAAAAUUUUGGUACAACUGUGUGGGGGUGUGCUUUCUUGAAGCAGCUCGUUCAGACCUAGGUCAUAUUCUCAAGAGAGUGACAGUAGGAAGUGUUUAAGAGCCACUGACUUUAUAAAAUCGCUAGGUUAGAAGAGAUUUGGUUUGUAAUGUAAUUUCCAGCAGAACAGGAAUACUAUCCAUAUAAAGAUUUGAACAAGCAUUCGGGGGGAAUAAGC
rnacentral:lncRNA from 1 species